CCUACGGGAGGCUGCAGUGGGGAAUAUUGCACAAUGGGGGAAACCCUGAUGCAGCGACGCCGCGUGAGUGAAGAAGUAAUUCGUUAUGUAAAGCUCUAUCAGCAGGGAAGAAAAUGACGGUACCUGAGUAAGAAGCCCCGGCUAACUACGUGCCAGCAGCCGCGGGAAUACGGAGGGGGCAAGCGUUAUCCGGAUUUACUGGGUGUAAAGGGAGCGUAGACGGCAGUGCAAGUCUGAAGUGAAAGCCCAGGGCCCAACCCUGGGACUGCUUUGGAAACUGUGGAGCUAGAGUGCUGGAGAGGUAAGUGGAAUUCCUGGUGUAGCGGUGAAAUGCGUAGAUAUUAGGAGGAACACCAGUGGCGAAGGCGGCUUACUGGACAGUAACUGACGUUGAGGCGCGAAAGCGUGGGGAGCAAACAGGAUUAGAUACCCUUGUAGUC
rnacentral:rRNA from 1 species